ACACAACAUGAAGAGUAACUGAAUUAGGUUCACCAACCUGCAAAUGUAAGGUGGUUUCCUCAAGGGCAUGUGACCGUAAGGUAAUAUACAUGCCUCCUUC
rnacentral:ncRNA from 1 species